GAGUGCCGGUACAUCGUAGCGUUGUCGCGCGCGCGGUGACGCGAACGCGGCGUCGCGUCGGUCUUGUCGCGUGAAGUUGUCGCGAAGACACGAAGCCGCUUCUCGCCACCUUCAGUUGCAUUCACGUUUCUUUUACGGGGCGCAACGGACACGGAAUGGACGGGCUCCGGAGCGGAGGCGUCGUCGUGGCUCGUUUAACAGAACGCGGUGGAUGCAGGAUGGAUCGGAACUGGAGCGAGCGGCGUCGCGACUCGUUUAUCACAUUGUAUAGUAUCGUACUACAAUUCUAUUAUUGCAUCGUGGAAAUGUAAUCUGAAGAGAUCUGACAACUCGGAAACAAAUUAGACUUGGGGGAGAUAUCAGGUCUCAAUGGAACAACUUUGCGAUUUAUCGUAGCGAUGUGUCUAAUAACUCCACUGUCGCACAUCAAUUGCUAAGUGAUAAAAAAAAAAUUUAUAAAUGAGGUAACAAAACUAUGAAAUAUAGUAAGCCAUUUUAUUUUUUAAUACUAUAAAAGAAACGUUUUCUA
rnacentral:lncRNA from 13 species